GUGCUCCCCCGCCAAUUCCUUUAAGUUUCAUACUUGCGUACGUACUUCCCUGGCGGCAAACUUAACGGCUUCCCUGCAACACUGCAUAGGCCACAAGCCAAUGCAUCACUGAGUUUGCAUAGUUUACAGCUGGGACUACCCGGGUAUCUAAUCCGGUUUGCUCCCCCAGCUUUCAUCCCUCACCGUCGGACGUGUUCUGGUAGACCGCCUUCGCCACAGGUGGUCAUCGAGAGAUCAAAGCAUUUUACCACUUCCUCCCGAGUACCGUCUACCUCUCCCACUCCCUAGCUCUGCAGUAUUUCCGGCAGCCUGUACGUUGAGCGUACAGAUUUAACCGAAAACUUACAGAGCAGGCUACGGAUGCUUUAGGCCCAAUAAUCAUCCUGACCACUUGAGGUGCUGGUUUUACCGCGGCGGCUGACACCAGAACUUGCCCACCCCUUAUUCGUUAGUGUUUUUAGGACUAACAAAAGGUUCCUUUAGCAGAAACCACUCGGAUUAACCUUGUCGUGCUUUCGCACAUUGCAAAGUUUUCGCGCCUGCUGCUCCCCGUCNNGGCGGGGGCGGCGGGAANGGC
rnacentral:rRNA from 1 species